rnacentral:rRNA from 1 species
UGGGGACUGCGGAGACAUUAAUGAUUUUGAAGGGGUUGUAGCUGGCCUUUUAGGAGGCAUGUGCACACCCUGCUCUUCCAUUCUUACCCCUGUGCACACUCUGUAGGUCGGUUUGAGCGGUUCUCUCUAACGGGGGAUGCUGUUUGGCCUUCCUAUGUUUUAUAACAAACUCUGUAAUGUCAUAGAAUGUCAUCGCGUAUAACGCAUUAUAAUAUAACUUUCAGCAACGGAUCUCUUGGCUCUCGCAUCGAUGAAGAACGCAGCGAAAUGCGAUAAGUAAUGUGAAUUGCAGAAUUCAGUGAAUCAUCGAAUCUUUGAACGCACCUUGCGCUCCUUGGUAUUCCGAGGAGCAUGCCUGUUUGAGUGUCAUGGAAUUCUCAACCCUCUUAUCCUUGUGGUGAGAUUGGGUUGGAUUUGGAGGUUUAUGCUGGCUUGUAAUGAGUCGGCUCCUCUUGAAUGCAUUAGCUUGGACCUUUGCGGACCAGCUUUUCGGUGUGAUAAUUGUCUACGCCGUGGGCUGUGAUGCUGUUUAACAUGCUUCGGCGUGUUGGGGUUCUGCUUCUAAUGGUCCCUUUGGUGGGACAACUUACUUUGACCUCUGACCUCAAAUCAGGUAGGAUUACCCGCUGAACUUAAGCAUAUCA